CUGACCUGUAGUUUGAUUUCCAGUGUCUAGACUUAACAGUCUGAAUUUAAACACGAGGCAUAUACACAAAAUCAUCUGGAACUGAUUUUUUCACACUAAACACUUCUUUCUGAUCCUACUUUCCAGGAGGCUCCUUCCUCCAAACAUACCUCCAGAUGAAAAUCACUUAAUUAACCAAGAAAGACUCAACCGCCCUUAACUGCUUUUCUAAACAGUCACACAUACUGGAUUUACUUAUUUUGAGACAUGACAAACCAGUUGCAAACCACAAAUUCAUUCUCAUGGGCCCUCCACACGGUCUCUUGUUCCUUCUGAAGAGGGUCUUGCUGAGGACCAUUUGUCCCCCUUCCUGCAGCAGCUACUCAGUCGGUGCCGGAGAGUGUGGCCUUUCGAACUAUUUGCGGUUUUCCUGCCACAUGAUGCUGACGGACCUCAGCCUCUCCCGGCCUUGGUGCACAUACAACAGCCUGUAAAAGCUCCACUUUCUAUUCCAGAUUGCUGUUAUGCGUCUGCUUCUCAUUCAAAGGAAAUAAGAGGAGAUGUAAAUCGUCGCUGUGCAGUUACGUGUUUAAUGAAAAUGAUCUUGCAUGCUAGAUUCACGUCCAGGAGCGAGUCGCCCUUACUGCUGGUAUUGAACUCACUCUCCUUGGAGCGCCCCAAGGCUGUGGGCUGUGGGGGGGCAUUAGUGUGUGUGGGCGCAGCUAUUAUUUGUACCAGGAGGCACAAGUCUGCACAGCAACCUGAAGAUUUAGAUUUUCAAGAAACUGCAAAUCCUGACACACCUGGUGAUAAAACCCAGAUGCUCUCCCCAACUCAUACCUUGUCCCGCAACUCCCACUCCCCACUUCCUGACUAGACUUUUUAUUUUUUGGUCCAGAAGAUAGGGGUAAGAGAAGAAUGCUGAAGGGAGUGAGUGGAUGAGAGAAUGCUUGGCUUACUUGCCCAUUAGAUAGUUCCAGCUCCAAAUACUGUUCUAAUUAAGAACAAAAUAAAACCAUUCUCCCCCACUGGCUGUCUGGUAUGUAGACAAAUUUGGAAAUAGGUAAACAGUUGCUGUAUUAGAAUUGGGUAUAUUUUAGCUUGAUGACAAUAUUUACUUGAUUUUAUCACUGAAGAGAAUCACGAUCUUUGUGACAUAUACAGUCCUUCUUAUUCUUUUAGCUCUAUCUUUAUUAAACUAGAUUGUCAUCAAAUGGUGGUGGAAUCUAUUGACAUGUAGAGAAGGAAUGUUUUACUUAGGAGGUUGUCAAGGAAUGUCUGUCAAGUAGGGGUAGAAGGAAGGAAUUAACAGGGCUUUGAGAACAUUCUCACAUUUGAAGUGCUAAUAAUUUCUGGUGUGAAUUUGGUGAUAACAGUGUUUCAGUAUUUAAUAUUAAUUUGAAUUUUCUGGCUGGUUAUUAACUUGAGUUACGUUUAUAGGUGAUGAAACAAACGAAGAGGAUUGCAUGUUUAUACACAGUAGAACUUGAGGGUUUUCUAAUAAGCAUACUUUAACAUUGCCUCAGCCUGUAAAUCUGGGAUUACAAGGCAGAUAAGUUUUAGGGUGAUUACUUCUUUCACCCCAUAAUUACUUCAUGGAUUUGCCGUGGUGUUUCUUCCAGAAGGAAUUUCAGCUUUGGAAAAAACCAUGCACACACACAAAGAUACAAAUAAAGUGUAAGUGAAGUAAUCAGAGUAAGAGGUUGGGGAAGACUUCUCCCCAUGUGCCUUUCCCCUUGCUGACUUCGCUUGGUGUUGUUUCCCUGUAAUAAACUGCAGCUGUGAGUACGACUGUGUGCCGAGCCCUGAGAGUCUGCCUAGUAGAUAACUGAAACUGAAGGUGGUCUUGGGCUCUUCCUGAUGCAGUCAGCUGUGGAUGUAGUGGUACCUCUCAUAGCAUAAAGAACGCAAAAGUGGUAGCAGGUUUGGGAGUGGGAGCAGUGAUGCAUUCUGCUGUAAGUUUUCCAAGGUAGUCACUUAUAUUGCUUUACUAGGGUUAUUUUGAGCUAGCAUUUAUUAUUAUAUGUUUUCUAUUUCAAAAUUAAGUUACCAGGAAAAUCUAAUUUUUUUCAACAUACCUUCGCUCAUUAAUUAAUUCAUUCAGCAAGCAUUUGCUGAAACGUUAUUGAACAUUUGGAACUGGUUAGGCAUUUUAAGUGCCAUAAGGAUGCUUAGGAAUAUGGGUCAAGUGUUCAAAGGGGUUAUAAAUACACUGGGUAGCAAUAUAUUUAGUGGUCUCUGGAGUAGCUCUGUCAACACUGUCGAAUUUGAAAUUGUAACUUAAGUAUUCUGUACUGUCUUCUCUAUUUUAACUUUCAUAUUAAUGCUUAAAUGCCUACUGUUCCAACAUAAAUGGAUUUUGCUUAACAAAUACUUUCUGCAUGUAACUCUACCUGUACCUAGCUAUUACAGAUAGACCAUAGCUGUUAUAGGUAGACUAUAUGGAAGAGGAAGGCUAAUAUUUAUUGAGAAUUUCGUAUGCCUCUAACGCUAUGUUAAGCACUUCACAUCCAUUAUUUAAUCAUCACAAAAGCCCUUUGAGGUAGAUGCAAUUAUUAUUAUUGUUAUUUUUAUAGACAAUGUCUUACUGUGUUGCCGAGGAUGGACUUGAACUUGGAGUCAGAUCUUUCUACCACAGCUUCCGGAGUAGCUGGGACCACAGGCAGGUGCUACUGUGCCCAGAUAGUUACAAUUAUAAUCCGCAUUUUGCAGUUGAGAAAACUGAGGCAAAGGGAGAUCACGUCAGGUCACAGCAGUAGGACGGGACCUGGGAAGUGUGACUGUGGAGUGUGUGUUCUUAAUCUGUGUGCCCAAUUGUUAAGUAAGGAGAAAUUACAAAAGACAAAGGUUUCAAUAACUCUUUGCAAGAAGUCCUUAAAUGUGAACAGAAGUACCUAUUUUCCACACAUUUUAUGUCCUUUUUUUUUCUUUUUAGUUUACAUGUAUUUAUGGGCUACAGAGUGAUAUUUCGAUACAUGUAUAUAAUGCAUAAUGAUCAAAUCAGGGUAAUUAGCAUAUCCAUCAGCUUGAACAUUUAUCAUUUUUGCCACACUUUUUAUCUUGUUGAUAGUGCACAAUUUUCAUGGCUUUGCCUCUUGUUAUUUCCCCUCAUGUAUGUAGGUCUGGUGAAAUCACACGUAGGGAGAACAUUUUUACAAUGCACAUUUGUGAAGGCUUAGAAACACGGUGGUUACAAACUGAGCUUUGCCACUUAAUCUCGUGUGACCUGGAUAAACGACUUCAUACCAAACUUCAUAUAGUUUCCUCAUCCAUAAACCUGUAACACUCAGGCUUAUUGGAGUAACAUAUGAAAUGGAGGUUAUCUAAGUAUUUGUUGAAUGAAUGUCCCCCUGCCCGCACUCCCUCCGUUUUUUUCUUUUUCUCCUGCUUCCUAUGAAAUAGAAAACUGGUAGGCAUUGCAGGAUGAAAUGAGGAAAGGCAGGGAGGAGAGGCAUAAAAUAUAUUCUUGCUAAUUUGCUAGUGUCUUUUUUUCCCCUCAUCAACUUUAUUGAGCAAUAAUUUUAUGCAGUUAAAUGAAUCUAUUUAAUUGGAUGAAUUUUGACAGUUUUAUAUACCCAUGAAGCCACAGUCACAAUCAAGAUAGAGAACAUUUCCAUUACUUCCAAAAUAUUUCUGUGCCACUUUUUUCUUUACUAUUUCCUUAUUGUAGUAAAAUGUAUAUAUAAUGAAAUUUUCCAUUAUGACCACUUUUAGGUAUACAAUCCAGUAGCAUUAAGUGCAUUCAUGUUGUUCUGCACCCGUUACCACUGUCCAGCUCCAGAACUCUUUUUCAUCAUCCAGAACUGAAACUUUGAACCCAUUAAAUGAUAACUCCCCAUUCCCCUUUUGCCCCAGCCUCUGGCAACCACCAUUCUACUUCCUG
rnacentral:lncRNA from 1 species